rnacentral:lncRNA from 1 species
CUAAAUCUGCCCUACAAUUUCUGCCGAAUUUCCCUUUCCUUUUCUCUUUAAUUCCUGCACCUUUCUUGCCUAUUUUUUGACCCAAAAUCACAUUCCUUUUCCUACAUAAAUCUUUCCCUAAAACCACUUCAAAUUUGUAGCCCUUCCUUCCCCUAUAAAUAAAGGUCCUUGCUGACCAUUAUAAGCAUUCCACCCUUCACCAUAACCUACCUACAUCCAUCCACCACCAUAAUUCACCACAAAUCAUCACCAAACACCCUUGUGUCGCAGCAAAGAAGAAAGAAGGAGACCCUUGGAUGUGCUUGCCAUUCAAGACGUUGGAUUGUUGGAGCGUUUCUAGGUGUUUUCAUUCUUUGUUUUCAAUGUCUAAAUUUAUGUAUCUUUGUUUUGCGUUUAUGAGGAACUAAACCCUAUUGGGUUAGGGGUGAUUUCGAAGCCAUGACUAUGUGUGCAAUUUGAUUUGAUAAAUUCCAGUUAUGAGUUCUUGAAUCGUGAAUGCAAUUGGCUUAACUGUGCGAGUAAUAACUUAUUUGUGUUUGUUAAUUAGGGGUCGACACUUAAUUGGCUUGCAUGAAUAUGAUGCUAGAAUAUAAGGUUGUUUCACAUAAUCGUCACACACUUAUAUUCAUAUGUAGUGAAGGUCGCUAGUCACGAUCGCGUUAAGUCCAAUUCCUAGCAUGAGUGACAUGAUGUCAUAGUUGCAAGUGCUUUGUCAAUGCUUAUAGUUUUCAUUGAACAUAAUGAUCUUUGAUUAUCUUUAUUAUGAUGUCAUGUAGGGAACUUUUGAGGAAUGCUUUGGGUUGUCGAAUGAUGUCAUCCAAUCCAAUAACACAAGGAAAACUUGAGAAUUAACUAGUGAUGUCACGGUUAAUUUGGGGCAUUGUCAUUCAUAAUUCAAUGAAGGAAUAACUGGAAAUCAAGUCGUUUGCAUACUUGUCAUGUGUGGAGAAAGAGUCUCUAACUAAUCCAUCAUCCAUUUUCAAAUCUGUUUUUACUUUGCAAUCUGUUUUGUCAGUUUAUUUUCGUCCAAAUCAAACCCCCAUUUAUUGUGAAGUCCUAGAUUAGUUAGAAAGUGUUUUUAAGUGUUUUGAGCCUUUAGAAACCCAAAUUUCGUCCAAAUUGUGUUUAGAGCUCAAAACUGCCCAGUUUGUGUUUUUAGGCAGUUUUGAGUCUUUUGGUUUGUUUUAGUGUUUUAAAUUUUAGUUUUGCAUUCUUUGAGUCUAGUUUAGUGUUUUAAACUUUGUUUUUAUGUUUUUAAGUCAGUUUUCAAGUGUUUAGCAAUCCCUCCUAAUCCCCGGUUUAGAACGAUCCCUACUUACAUACUUUGCUACAAUUGACAAAAAGAGGGUUUAAUUUGUGUGUUAAGUUAAUUUCUGAUAGGAGCAUAUUUAUGCGACUUAGUUGGCUUGUUCUUGUGCAUUUAUGUCGUGUUUCCUUAGUUAUUUUAAGGUUUAAAGUCAUUUUCGUGUGUUUUCAGAUUUUAAGGACAAAGUAGGCAAGAAGAUGCAUUUUGGAGCAUUUUGGAGCAAAAUGGAGCUUGGAAUGCAUGUCACAUAUUUGGAACCAAGGUUAGGACGAAAUUGAAGACUUAAAGAGGCUAAGAAUGUGAAGAAUUAGUGUACAAAGGAUCAAGAACUCAGCCACAAAAGGACACACAUCCUUGCCGUGUAAUCCACAUAGCAUUCCCUUUGGAUUCCCAUGCAUGCUUAAUCAUCCUUGUCCCCUAAAAUAUUUCUGAUUUCAUGCCUCAAUACACUCCAUUAUCACACUCAAUUGCUGCAUACCUCUUGUUCCCUUCACCCAUCAGAUUUCACACAACUUUCACAACCAUUCCAUGCACCAAUUGAUGCUCCAUCAUCCACAUUUGGGAUCCAAUGCCGUGUGCAACACAUGUUGCUGCACCUUUGACUAAUUUCUGAAACAUUUCACCUCCCCUUUUCAUUUCCAUGCAAUGAACUCAAUCAUUCAUGCUCCCUAGCUGAAAUACCACUCCAUUUUACCCUCCAUACUUUGCAUCAUUGCUCCAUUUUCAUCCUUGGACCAUUGCACACCACAAAUUCACCCUCCUUGCUGUGCAUUUCCCCCACUGCCUAAUCUGAUUCUCUAGGGUUUUUGGGGCCUAUAUAUACAUGUUUACAAGCCUUGGCAAAGGGUUGAACCUCCCAUAUUCAUCAUUCAUGCAAAAAAUUCGUCCAUACUCACCUUAGGCAGCAAAACACCCCAAAAACACCAUUUUAGUGCCCAGAAAACAUAACAGCCACUCCACCUUAUUCCACCCUCUUUGCCGAGUUUUCCACCACCCUCCAACCAUCAAACACUCCUCCACACUCACCCUAAACCUUUCUAUAUCAUUCCUCAUCCAUUCUACACCAUAAAACUACCCAAAACUUGUCCACAAACCAAUCUGCCGCAAGCAAGGGAAAGGAGAAUUCUUGGAUGCACUUGCUGCCAAGUUGGAGCAUUCUAGGUGUUUUCUUUCUUUGGAUUUUAAUGUCUAAUUCAUGUAAUCUUUGUUUUGCUUUAAGUAUGAUUGGCUAAUUUUGUUUUGGCUAAGGGUGUAUUCAAAACCAUGAUUAUAUAUGUGAAAUAAGUUGACUACUUCCAGUUAUCGUUGCAUAAGUUGUGAAUACAAUUUGCUUAACCGUUGGAUUUAGAACUUAUUCUUGCAUGUUGAUUGAGAGUGCACGCUUGAUUUGCAUGUUUGAAUUUGGUGCUAGGAUAUAAAUUUGUUUCACCUAAUCGUUAUGAAUUUAUAUUCGCAAGUAGUGAAGGUCGUUAGUCACGAUCGUGUUAAGUAAAUUCCUGGCAAGAGUAUCAUGCUUUCCAUAGAAUGUAAUGAUUCUAACUUAUGUCUUUAUCAUGCUGUUCAUAUAGAGAACUUGUUAGGAAUAAUUUGUUUGCGAUGCAUAUUCAUCCGAUUCAAUGAUUCUAGGGAAAUCUGAAGGUUAAUUUAAGCGGACCUAAUUAACUUGGAGUGUCGAGGUUCAUAACUUAUUCAAUUGAUAACUGGAAAUCGAUUUAGGUUGCAUAUAUUUCAUGUGUGGAGAAGAACCCCUUAGCCAUUCCAUCAUCCAUUGAUUUUUCAUAACUUUGUAUUACAAUCUGUUUCUCUUACAAUCUGCCAUUUAAGUUUAUUUUCGUCCAAAUCAAAUCCCCAAUUAUUUUGAAUUCCUAGAUUAAUUGGAAAGUGUGUUGGUUUAUGUUUUUAAGUGUUUUGGUACAAGUUAAAACCCAAAUUCGUCCAAUUUGAUGCUUUGUGUUCAAAACUGCCCAGAAAGUGGUUUUUAGGCAGUUUUGAGUGUUUGGUUGCUGUUUUGAUUCUUUUGGUUCGUUUUAGUGUUUUAGAGUUUAGUUUUGCAUUCUUUGAGUCUAGUUUCGUAUUUUUAAACUUUGUUUCACAGAUUUGAGUCAGUUUAGAGUGUUUUAGCAAUCCCUCCUAAUCCCCGGUUUAAGAACGAUCCCUACUUAUCCAUACUACAAUUGUCAACAAGAGGGUUAAUUUGUGUGUUAACUUAUUUUUCACACCAAUUUCCUCUCAGGUUUUUUAUUCCUAAGGAAGAAGAGAGUGAAAAAGAGAUCGUGGAAGCCCUUCCCAAGGUGCAAAGUGAUAUCCCAAUUCUUGGUACACCAAAACAAGUUCCAGAUUGUGUUGAAAUCCCUGAAGAGAAUUGUACACCAAGAAGAAGGAUUCAAGAGAAGAAAGUGGCUGGGGAGUAUCUAGAAUUCAUCAAAGAGCAUGUACUUGAGACAACCAUCCCCAAAGAAGUUGAAUUUGAUGACACGGGACAAAUCACAACCAUCGUAGUAAAUCUGGCCAAAUUCAAAGUCCCUGAAACUUUCAAAGAAGUGGUGUUUGUCAUUGAGUUCUUGUCGGACAAAGCAAGUAAGUCACCUUCUCCAAUUUCCAUUACGUUUUAUACUUACAUGUUGUUAAUAAUUCAAGCACCCACUCUCGAAUUUAAACCAUUGCUGGAUCACUUCAAGUAUCACCUUCCGUUCAAGGAUCAAUUCCAUGCUAUGGGACCUACGGGAGCUUAAAGAGAAGUAUCGUCCGGCUGCAAGACGUUAAAGCAAGCGCUACGUGGGAGGCAACCCAUGCAUUCAACAAAGGAAGACUUAGGAAUCACUCCAAUUCCAGAUUUGCGUUCCUAAAACCCUUAUCUUUGUUGAUUAUUUCUAAUAUGCCAGUUUAUUUGUUUAGUUGCUGUUUAUGUGUUUACUUUUAUUUGGUGUGAUUUAAGUGUGGGGGGGUAACUAAGUGUUUUUGAUGCAAAUUCGUGGGAUUUUAUCACCCAUUACUUAUAGACUUGUUCCUUGCUGUUUUUAAGUGUUUUUAAGCAGUUUUAGUGUGUUUCAGUGUGUUGACAUAAAACUCCGAAAAUCACAUAACAAUUUGAAAUAAAGUGUUUUGAAAAGCCUAAAAAGAGUGUUUUGAGUUGUUUUUGUGUGUUUGUGUCUAGGGUACCUUCCAACACAAUGAUGAGGAUUUGGUUUGUAAUUACAUGGUUGUUAAAGAGAGUUAUAAAAAUGGAUGAAAGUUUGAUUUACUCUUUGUUCAUGCUUGGUUGUGGUUAUAACUUAUGAAUUCGCAUGCAAUCUUAAAGAAAAAAAAUCAGUUUUGUAACAUGCUUGAAGGAAGGAACUCGAAUUAACGCUACAACCUUGUGAGACUUGAGCCUAAACGUUUAUUUGGAGAGCUAAAAUCUGUGCAUUUUUGUUUUCUAAAGUCAUUGCAUGAUCUCAUUAUUCUUUGCUUGGUUACUACUUAGAAGGCGUUUCAUCAUUUAGUUCCAAAUGCUAGAACUCAUGCCCAUUUCAUUCAAAGCAUGUUAUUGAUUUGCAUAACACAUGUUCAAGUUGAAGUUGUGUAGUGACCACCACCGAAACCAAAUUGCCAUGUAUCCUACUUCAUUAUAUGUUUAAGUUAACCCCAUUGAGCCUUGUUAGCCUACAUUCGUUGUUAACCCACGUUAUCCUCACCUAGCCUAGAUCAGGACCAUCCUUACCCUUGUUCUUAAAGCAUAGUAAAGCAUGAUUUAAAUUGAAUUCCUUUUGAUUAAUGUUUGGCAGAAAAUAAGUGUGGGGGAGGUGUUUUUUUUUAUGUGGAUUUGUGUGCCAUAGGCACGGGUAGAAAAAAAAGAAAAGAAAAAAAAAAUUUCGUGGAAAAUAUAAAGAAAAAAAGAAAAGUUGUGAAAAGAGUAAAAAGAGUUGAAAGAUGUGAAAAAGAGUUCUAAAGUAGUGUUUGUUGAAGAAAGGGUCCAAAAUGUUGUAUUUGACCCUAAGUGUUGCUUAAAUCUUCCCUUUGUGUUCAAAGUUAAUUUCUGCAUUCUAAAGUGAAUUCUAAGUCUCAAUUUCAUUACUUUGCUUGCUAAUGCUUUAAGAACGUUUGUUUUCCCUAUCUUUUCUUUGUUAACCAAUACCCCAAGCCCUGUUACAACCCUUAACUUCUAUCUUGAGUGUUAUGUGUUUCAAAUUGUGGAGUUUGAAUUUGGUAUGAGCAUAUGGUGUCACUGGUUCUCGCAUCUAAGUAGUGACAUUCCAUUCAUGAGAUCAUAUCUAAACAUGCUUAUUAACUCCAGAAAUCGCGUUCUUUGUUAUACAUAUAUGUGAGCAUUCGUUUUCAUAUCUACAUCAAUCUUCUCACAUAUACCUAGUAUAAGGAGUAUAGUCAGAAAAUCCGUGUGAAAAUAGAGUGUAUAUCCAGUAAGGAAUUGAGGGAAUUCUCUAAGGCAUGUUACUACAUUCAAAAUGUUGUUUUAAUUGAUUAAAUGCGAACUAGUAAAUGGUGACUAUGAUUAAGUAUGCUCGAUGGUAAGGAUGACUAAAAUAUGUGUAAGUAAUGAUUUUUAGCAUGUCAUGUGCAUUGGAAAUCCGUAAGACAAUUGUUGGAAGGUCUAGGUUGUGUUUUGUUUUGAUUUGUUUUGCUCGAGGAAAAGCUAAGUGUGGGGGAAUUUGAUAGGAGCAUAUUUAUGCAACUUAGUUAGCUUGUUCUUGUGCAUUUAUGUUGUUUUCCUUAGUUAUUUUAGUGUUUAAAGUCAUUUUUGUGCAAUUUCAGGUUUUAAGGACAAAGUAUGCAAAAAGAUGCAUUUUGGAGCCUUUUGGAGCAGUUUUGGACAUCAAAUGGAUUGCACAUGCUUGGAGCUAAGAAGAUGGACGAAAUUGAAGAUCAAAGGAGCGUAGGAUUGAAUGAAGAUGUGAAGAAUUGGAUUCAAGACAAAUAAAGAAUGAAGAGUUCAAAAUUGCAAGCCAAAGUUUCCAAAGUUGGAAGUUUCUAUUCUUCGAGGUUUCCAUUCUUGAUGGUUUCCAUCUUUGGCUCUAAACUUUCCUAAUCCUAAUUCACCUAUGUUCCAGCUGCAAGGAGGCUUCCUAAAUAUUUUAGGACACUAAAUAAAUGCUUCUAGAAGACCUAGACCUAUCCCUAAUCUUUGCCGCACCCACCUUCCUAUUUUUCCUACUUUACCUUCCUUGUUUCCCUUUCUUGUUUUCCUAGUUCUUGCAAUUAAACACAUUCCUGUUUUGUUCCAUCCCUUGCUGCACAAGGGAGAGAUUCUCCUUCCUAUUUUAUGUCCUGAAACAUAUUUCCUUUUCCCUAAAACCCUAUGCCGCACCUUACAUCCUUUCUUGCCUAUUUUCUGACCCAAAACACAUUCCUAAAUCUGCCCUACAAUUUCUGCCGAAUUUCCCUUUCCUUUUCUCUUUAAUUCCUGCACCUUUCUUGCCUAUUUUUUUACCCAAAAUCACAUUCCUUUUCCUACAUAAAUCUUUCCCUAAAACCACUUCAAAUUCGUAGCCCUUCCUUCCCCUAUAAAUAAAGGUCCUUGCUGACCAUUCUAAGCACUCCACCCUUCACCAUAACCUACCUACAUCCAUCCACCACCAUAAUUCACCACAAAUCAUCACCAAACACCCUUGUGUCGCAGCAAAGAAGAAAGAAGGAGACCCUUGGACGUGCUUGCCAUUCAAGACGUUGGAUUGUUGGAGCGUUUCUAGGUGUAAUCUUUCUUUUGUUUUCAAUGUUUAAGUUUAAUAAUCUUUGUGUUG